UAUGAAUAUUUAAUUACUUUUAUUUUCAUUUAAAACAAUUUGAGCUCGUCUAGAGGCGAACGCAGGGGUUGUGAUGUCCGCAAGCAGUCGUGUGUAAAUAAUUUAUAUUACUAUUAAAUAAUAAAUUUUUAUUGUCUGAAUAACUAAUAAAAUUUAGUUUUUUUAGUUGUUAAUAACUUUAAUACAAGUAAAAGAUAUGAGGGAACCAAAGAUCGAUCUUUGAGGUGCCCCAAGAAGACCUAACAGUUUUGUUUCAGACCACCGGUAAAGAAGAGCAUUAAGGUAUAAAAGUCAAAAGCGAAAGUUGUUUGGUCGACUAGUUCAAAGUUAGUUCAAAGUUUUAUUAAAAUCUUUCAGCUUUAAAAGAAAAAUAAACAUAUAGAUAGCAAAUAGAUGUUGUGCUUAGCACAACAAGGUCCGGGUAUCCCAUCUUUAUAUGUGUGGGUUUAAAGUAAAGUUUGCUAUAACACCUAAACGAUGAGCAUUUUUAGUUCAACUUUGAGUAUUACAUAAAUCUUAUAACUAUAUAUUCAUUUUUAGUUAAAUAACAAUCAUUUAACAAAAAAAAACUCAAAAAGCCUUUGAGACUAAUUACUAUCAAAAGAUCUAAAAUAUUUAGCAUUUAGCAACUAGUGGUGUGUUAAAAUCAGCUUCUUAACAAAGUUAACGAUUGCAACUUCUUUACGAAAUUAACAAUUGCAACGGUCUUAACGAAGUCAACGGUUGAAACUACUUAAUGAAGUAAUUCCUGUUAAAACUUUUUUUCUCUAAAUAUGACACUAAAAGUUAUAAAAUAAGAAAUCAUCAGUGAAAAAAUGUGUUUCUACCUGUGCUGAUUAUAUCUCAUUUGUUAAUUAAGUUUAAUGCUUUUAUUAAUUAACAGAGAAGUAGAUAAA